rnacentral:ncRNA from 1 species
GCUUCGCCACAAACGCUUUGCGUUUGAACAUCGGCUUUGCCGAUGGCACGAAGUGCGAGCGUAGCGAGUAAAGAAAGUAACAAU